GGUUUAAUCAGUAAAGCAUUUGCCUUACAAGCAUAAGGACCUGGGUUUGAUCCCCAG
rnacentral:tRNA from 1 species